rnacentral:tRNA from 1 species
UUGAUUCUAAUUAAAUAAUUCUUUAUAUUUCUAUUUAUCUAUAACAGCAUAAGCAAAAAUUAAU